rnacentral:rRNA from 1 species
ACUUAGACUACUAUUUCUUAACCCACCUGUGCACUUUUUGUAGACCUAGAGAUCUUUCGAGACUUGACAAAAGUUCUCGGUUAGGGGAUUGCAGUGCGGAAGCCAGCUUUCCUUACAAUUCUAGUUCUAUGCUUUCAUUACACAUAUGAAUGUUACCGAAUGUUUAAUUAAUAAAUUUUAAUACAACUUUCAACAACGGAUCUCUUGGCUCUCGCAUCGAUGAAGAACGCAGCGAAAUGCGAUAAGUAAUGUGAAUUGCAGAAUUCAGUGAAUCAUCGAAUCUUUGAACGCACCUUGCGCUCCUUGGUAUUCCGAGGAGCAUGCCUGUUUGAGUGUCAUUAAAUUCUCAGUCUUUUUCAGCUUUCUUCAAUGAUUGUUGAUUAAGUUUGGAUUGUGAAAGCUGCUGGUUUCUUGAUAGAUCAGCUCUUUUUAAAUGCAUAAGUUGAACCUUUUGUAGAUCAGCUUUGGUGUGAUAAAAUAAUAUGCACUAUAGCUGUGAAAUGGCGUUUAGCUUCUAACUGUCUUAUUAACUUGGACAACAAUAUUAAUUUAAUGUUUUGACCUCAAAUCAGGUAGGACUACCCGCUGAACU